rnacentral:hammerhead_ribozyme from 1 species
AUUAGCUGACGAGUCGCAAAUAGGACGAAACGCGCAUCAAACUAGAU